rnacentral:rRNA from 1 species
AGAGUUUGAUCCUGGCUCAGGAUGAAUGCUGGCGGCGUGCCUAACACAUGCAAGUCGAACGGAGCUGCAUUGAAACCUGGUGAUAUGCAGCUCAGUGGCGGACGGGUGAGUAACGCGUGGGCAACCUGCCGCAUACCGGGGGAUAACAGCCGGAAACGGCUGCUAAUACCGCAUAAGCGCACAGCGCCGCAUGGCGCGGUGUGAAAAACCACGGUGGUAUGCGAUGGGCCCGCGUCUGAUUAGCUUGUUGGCGGGGCAGCGGCCCACCAAGGCGACGAUCAGUAGCCGGCCUGAGAGGGCGGACGGCCACACUGGGACUGAGACACGGCCCAGACUCCUGCGGGAGGCAGCAGUGGGGAAUAUUGCACAAUGGGGGAAACCCUGAUGCAGCGACGCCGCGUGAGUGAAGAAGCAUUCCGGUGCGUAAAGCUCUGUCAGCAGGGAAGAAAAAAAGGUCCUACGGACUUUUAGACGGUACCUGACCAAGAAGCCCCGGCUAACUACGUGCCAGCAGCCGCGGUAAUACGUAGGGGGCAAGCGUUAUCCGGAUUUACUGGGUGUAAAGGGAGCGCAGACGGCAGUGCAAGUCCGGAGUGAAAGCCCGCGGCCCAACCGCGGGACUGCUCUGGAAACUGCACGGCUGGAGUGCAGGAGAGGUAAGCGGAAUUCCUGGUGUAGCGGUGAAAUGCGUAGAUAUCAGGAGGAACACCGGCGGCGAAGGCGGCUUACUGGACUGUGACUGACGUUGAGGCUCGAAAGCGUGGGGAGCAAACAGGAUUAGAUACCCUGGUAGUCCACGC